GCGUCCUUAGCUCAGCUGGUAGAGCAACUGACUCUUAAUCAGUGGGUCCCGGGUUCGAAUCCCUGAGGACGCACCA
rnacentral:tRNA from 1 species